GAUGAAGAACGCAGCGAAAUGCGAUACUUGGUGUGAAUUGCAGAAUCCCGUGAACCAUCGAGUCUUUGAACGCAAGUUGCGCCCGAAGCCAUUAGGCCGAGGGCACGCCUGCCUGGGCGUCACACGUCGUUGCCCCCCCAUCUACUCCUUCGGGAUUGCGGGGGGCGGAUGAUGGCCUCCCGUGCGCCUCGUCGCGCGGUUGGCAUAAAUGCCAAGUCCUCGGCGACGCACGCCACGACAAUCGGUGGUUGCGAAACCUCGGUUGCCCGUCGUGUGCGGUCGUCGCGCAUCGAGGGCUCGAAAAAAUGCUCGGCUCCGGCUGGGCUUUCAACGCGACCCCAGGUCAGGCGGGGUUACCCGCUGAAUUUAAGCAUAUCAAUAAGCGGAGGA
rnacentral:misc_RNA from 1 species